UACAGAGGGUGCAAGCGUUGUUCGGAAUUACUGGGCGUAAAGGGCGCGUAGGCGGCCAUCUAAGUCAGACGUGAAAUCCCUCGGCUCAACCGAGGAACUGCGUCUGAUACUGGAAGGCUUGAAUCCGGGAGAGGGAUGUGGAAUUCCAGGUGUAGCGGUGAAAUGCGUAGAUAUCUGGAGGAACACCGGUGGCGAAGGCGGCAUCCUGGACCGGUAUUGACGCUGAGGCGCGAAAGCUAGGGGAGCAAACGGG
rnacentral:rRNA from 1 species